ACUUUGAAGUUCAAACCUGAGUUCUUGUCUGUGCCCUUUCUUUUAUGCAUUGUUUCCUUUAUCAAGCUUCAAUUUUUGCAAGUUUUUUUGUCAAUCAAUUGAAUCACCUAAAACAAAUUAAAAAGAAAUAGCCUUAAAAGCACUAUCUUUCUUAUUGCUAAAUCAUUGAUUGGAGUCUAUAUGCAAUUGUAAAUUAUGGUAUUUUUAGGAUAUAGAUGGUGGUGUGGCACAACACUUGAAGGGAGGCUUGGGAGUUGGGAGGAAGGAUUCCAUUACCAAGGUGAAAUUAUAUUUUUACAGAACUUAAGGCUCCUUGGAAGUUGGAAGACAAUAAAUAUAAACCCAUGAUAUUUUGGACCCAUGGCUUCAACCAUAAAUUAAUGUAUCCUUUGCUCAGCUUAAUACAAAUUUCAGAACCACCAACGUUACUUCUGCGAACACUGAGAAACGCCAAGUAGUGGGAGACAUGCUCUGGAAAAAUUUAUCAUAUUCUAAAAGGAUCACUUCUUUUAUAACACAAGGGCAGAUUCGUCAGGCCCUAUUUACAUUCCAUCAAUUUCAAAGAGCUGGGUUUAAAAUCACGGAGUUUCUUCUGUCAGCAAUUGCAAGGGGCUGUGGGAGGCUUGGUACGAUAGAAGAGGGCAAGCAAGUUCAUUGCAUAGUAUUCAAACAUGGGUUUGAUAGAGAUAUGAUUUUGAUGACUUCCCUUCUCGAUAUGUACUGUAAAUGCAUUGAUAUCAAAGAGGCACGCCGUGUCUAUGAUGAAAUGCCCCAAAGAGAUGUUGUUGUAAACAAUAGCAUGAUUUUUGGGUUAUGCCGGUGUCACUUGACAUUGGACGCAAUGACUUUGUUUGAUAAUAUGUCUGAACGCGACGUGGGAUCUUGGAAUUCACUGAUUUCAGGGCUUGCUCAAAACUCAGAAGGAAGGAACGCGUUGUUUUUGUUCAAGAAAAUGAGAGUGGAGGGAGCUGAAGUUGAUGUUAUGACCAUGUCCGGUGUUCUUUCAGUUUGUGCUGAUCUUGCUGCUUUGGUUAACGGUAAACAAGUUUAUGGGCUAGUGAUUAAAUAUGGGUUUGAGCUAUAUUUACCUGUUGGAAAUGCCAUCAUUGACAUGUAUGCUAAAUGUGGAUGCAUGGAAGAUGCCUGCCAAUUUUUCAUGAACAUGCCAAUCAAGAAUGUAGUUUCAUGGACGUCUUUGAUCGUGGGUUAUGGAAAACAUGGCUUGGGAUUGGAAGCUCUUGAGGCAUUUGACAAUAUGGAAAGGGAAGGCAUUGUGCCAAACAAGAUCACAUUCUUGGGAACCUUAUAUGCAUGUAGUCAUGCUGGAUUAGUUCAAAAAGGGUGGAUGAAUUUCAACACCAUGGCACAUAAAUAUUCCAUCACACCCAUGAUGGAGCAUUACACAUGCAUGGUGGAUUUACUUGCACGAGCUGGGCAUCUUACGGAGGCUUAUAAUUUUGUGGAGAGGAUGCCAAUAAAGCCAGAGGCAAAGCUUCUAACAGCACUUUUUAGUUCAUGUUGUUCUCACAUGAAUGUAGAGCUAGCAAAGACUGUUGGACAGAGAUUAAUUGAAUUGGAACCUGAAGAAGCAGGAGCCUAUAUGUUGUUGUCCAACUUCUAUGGAAUUAUUGGGGACUUGGAAGGUGUAGCAAAUGUGAGAAAAUUGAUGUCAAAAAGGGAAAUAAGAAAAACAAAGGCAUGUACAUGGAUUGAGAUAGAUAGAAAAGUCCAUAGCUUUGAAUCAGGAGAUGGGUCUCAUCCCCUUAACAAAGAGAUAUACAAUUACUUGAAAAAUCUUGUUAAGAAGAUGAAGAAUAGUGGAUAUGUGCCUAACACAAGCAUGGUUAUGCAAAAUGUGGAUGAUCAUACAAAGGAAGAGAUGGUUCUUAGUCAUAGUGAGAAAUUGGCCAUUACUCUUGGCCUGAUUAUCAUGCCCCUGGGAACACGUAUCAUGAUAGUUAAGAAUCUUAGAGUAUGUGCAGACUGCCAUUUAUUUACUGCUUUGGUUUCAAAGAUUGAAGGAAGGGAGAUUGUCGCGAGAGAUUCUAGCAGAUUUCAUCAUUUCAAUAAUGGAUCAUGCUCUUGUGGAGAUCAUUGGUAGAGUUUGGCUCAUUUGCCUAUCCCGGUGGUUCUCUUUGUGUUGAAAAAACAUCCAGACCUUACAGGAUCUCAGGUUCGCGGACACCUCUGGUGAUGUUAUUUUCAAAGUCAACCAUCAAUCCUCACAUAAUAAUAAGAGGCCAUUCCUUGAUUCCAACGGAAAUCCCCUAAUUUCCAUCUACUGUUACCAUAAUGGGUCGUGGCAAGGCUUCAAGGCCGGUGAAGAUGAUCAAAAGUAGUGUUUAUUCAGAGUGUAGAGGACAGUGAACAAGCUCACCAGAACAAAGUUAGAGGUAUUUCUUGUUGGUGAGAAUGGGGAAGACUCAGCCUUUACGUUAAAGGUGAAAGGUUGUUCUUUCCAGAAGUCCUGCACUAUCUGCAGAGGCAAUGAUAUUGUGGCUCAGGUACAAAUAAUUGAUAGCUGUUGCUAGCAAUGAAAACUGAAGCCUCAAUGAAUCAGAUUUUGCUGCGUGUUCUGUGGAAUUUAUUUAAAUAUGCAACAAAGAUUAAAUUGUUUUAACCUUUGAUCAUCACCUUGUGGCCCCAUAAUGUGUUAUUGCUAGAGGUCAUGCCCUGCCAAUGAGGUUUAAGGAUAUAUUAGGUGUGUACCUAUCAAAAAAGGAUAUGUUUGGUGUGUAUUAUUUAUGUACAGACUAGAAAUUAUUGAAGAUUUGUAACAACAGCAUACAUAUGAUGAUGGGACAAAAGCAAUAUGCACUUGGUAUAAAUUUAAUAGCAUUGCUCUUCCUCUUUGCUCAACAA